GACCUCAAAUCAGGUAGGACUACCCGCUGAACUUAAGCAUAUCAAUAAGCGGAGGAAAAGAAACUAACAAGGAUUCCCCUAGUAACGGCGAGUGAAGCGGGAAAAGCUCAAAUUUGAAAUCUGGCAGCCUCAGGUUGUCCGAGUUGUAAUCUAUAGAGGCGUUUUCCGUGUCGGACUGUGUCCAAGUCCCUUGGAACAGGGUAUCAAAGAGGGUGACAAUCCCGUACUUGACACAACCACCGGUGCUAUGUGAUACGCUUUCUACGAGUCGAGUUGUUUGGGAAUGCAGCUCAAAAUGGGUGGUAAAUUCCAUCUAAAGCUAAAUAUUGGCGAGAGAGGGAUAGCGAACAAGUACCGUGAGGGAAAGAUGAAAAGCACUUGGAAAGAGAGUAA
rnacentral:rRNA from 1 species